CAAAAGUAUCUGUAAAAUCCAUG
rnacentral:piRNA from 1 species